rnacentral:tRNA from 1 species
AGGGGCUUAGGUUAAGACUAGACCAAGGGCCUUCAAAGCCCUAAGCGAGGGUGAGACUCCCCCAGCCCCUG